UGGGAUGUGGCUCAGUGGUAGAGCACUUGCUUAGCAUGCAUGAGGCCCUGGAUUUGAUCCUCAGUACCACAC
rnacentral:tRNA from 1 species